rnacentral:rRNA from 1 species
GUGAGGAAUUGUUCGCAAUGGGCGCAAGCCUGACGACGCAACGCCGCGUGGAGGAUGAAGAUCUUCGGGUCGUAAACUCCUUUCGAUCGAGACGAAUGGCCCUUGGGCUAACAUCCUGAGGGACUGACGGUACCGAGAGAAGAAGCCCCGGCUAACUCAGUGCCAGCAGCCGCGGUAAUACGGGGGGGGCAAGCGUUGUUCGGAAUUACUGGGCGUAAAGGGCUCGUAGGCGGCCAACUAAGUCAUACGUGAAAUCCCUCGGCUUAACCGGGGAACUGCGUCUGAUACUGGAUGGCUUGAGUUCGGGAGAGGGAUGCGGAAUUCCAGGUGUAGCGGUGAAAUGCGUAGAUAUCUGGAGGAACACCGGUGGCGAAGGCGGCAUCCUGGACCGAUACUGACGCUGAGGAGCGAAAGCCAGGGGAGCAAAC